UACAUCGGCUUCCGUGUGACCACCGAAGUUAAGCAACGUCAAGCCAGCUCAGUACUUAUAUAAGUUAUCGCUUGGGAAUACGAGGUGCUGCAU